CCCAGACUCCUACGGGAGGCAGCAGUGAGGAAUAUUGGUCAAUGGGCGGAAGCCUGAACCAGCCAAGUCGCGUGAGGGAAUAAGGCCCUACGGGUCGUAAACCUCUUUUGCCGGGGAGCAAGGGCGGGGACGUGUCCCGGCCCGGAGAGUGCCCGGAGAAAAAGCAUCGGCUAACUCCGUGCCAGCAGCCGCGGUAAUACGGAGGAUGCGAGCGUUAUCCGGAUUUAUUGGGUUUAAAGGGUGCGUAGGCGGAUUUGUAAGUCAGCGGUAAAAAUGCGGUGCUCAACGCCGUAUCGCCGUUGAAACUGCAGGUCUUGAGUGAGCGAGAAGUAUGCGGAAUGCGUGGUGUAGCGGUGAAAUGCAUAGAUAUCACGCAGAACUCCGAUUGCGAAGGCAGCAUACCGGCGCUCAACUGACGCUGAGGCACGAAAGCGUGGGGAUCGAACAGGAUUAGAUACCCUUGUAA
rnacentral:rRNA from 1 species